rnacentral:hammerhead_ribozyme from 1 species
AUCCAGUUGACGAAUCCCAAAUAGGACGAAACAUGAGUCCUGGAU